GUGGGGAAUAUUGCACAAUGGGGGAAACCCUGAUGCAGCCAUGCCGCGUGUGUGAAGAAGGCCUUCGGGUUGUAAAGCACUUUCAGCGAGGAGGAAAGGUUGGUAGCGAAUAACUGCCAGCUGUGACGUUACUCGCAGAAGAAGCACCGGCUAACUCCGUGCCAGCAGCCGCGGUAAUACGGAGGGUGCAAGCGUUAAUCGGAAUUACUGGGCGUAAAGCGCACGCAGGCGGUUGGAUAAGUUAGAUGUGAAAGCCCCGGGCUCAACCUGGGAAUUGCAUUUAAAACUGUCCAGCUAGAGUCUUGUAGAGGGGGGUAGAAUUCCAGGUGUAGCGGUGAAAUGCGUAGAGAUCUGGAGGAAUACCGGUGGCGAAGGCGGCCCCCUGGACAAAGACUGACGCUCAGGUGCGAAAGCGUGGGGAGCAAACA
rnacentral:rRNA from 1 species